AGAUCAGCCCUGGGGUUCAGAGGGAUCCUGACAGCUACUCCUCAAGAUCCUCUCUGUUGUGAUUCAUCCCCCCGGGGCCCUACAGUUUCUCCUUCCUGACUCUUACAUUUCUUUGGAUGGCAUCAUUAUUUACCUGUCUCCUCCCAUAGUUAGGUGCCAAGCACUGUGGAUUCUGCCUCUCAGUGUCCAGACACCCAUUUUCCUUCCCACUGUUCCUUCCCCAUGGAGAAGCCUGUGGCUGGCUGACAGCAGAGAGAGAUGCUCAACUUGGAGAAGGUGUUACCUGGGCCAGGUGGGGAAGGUUUGUUUGCAGAGCAAAGAAGUGAAGCCACCUCAAGAAAGAACAGUUCAUGUGCAGGUGACCAUGUAGUUCAAGUCAUCAUUAAAUCCAAAGCUGAGCAGCCGUGAUGCUAUUGGUGGAAUUGCCCUUGACCAAGAGAAAUCCAUCUUGAUUGUCUCAAUAAUCGGCUCAAGGACCACUGAUGAUGAGGUCCUAAAUUUAAUUCCUAAAAAACCACUAAAGUUAUAGAGGCAAAAUGAGAAAGCAUAGCUCACAAAUACCUUGUGACCAAUGACUUGCCUAUUCAACGUGAAAAAGAUGAGGAUGAAGACCUUUAUUAUGAUCCACUUCCAAGUAAUGAACACACUGGAGAAAGUCAGACAGU
rnacentral:lncRNA from 10 species